UGCAGUCGAGGGGUAACAGGGAAGCUUGCUUCCGCUGACGACCGGCGCACGGGUGCGUAACGCGUAUGCAACCUACCUCUUACAGGGGAAUGGCCCGAAGAAAUUCGGAUUAAUACCCCAUGGUAUUACAGAUUCGCAUGAUGAAGUAAUUAAAGAUUUAUCGGUAAGAGAUGGGCAUGCGUCUGAUUAGAUUGUUGGUGAGGUAACGGCUCACCAAGUCGACGGUCAGUAGGGGUUCUGAGAGGAAGAUCCCCCACACUGGCACUGAGAUACGGGCCAGACUCCUACGGGAGGCAGCAGUAGGGAAUAUUGGUCAAUGGAGGCAACUCUGAACCAGCCAUGCCGCGUGUAGGAAGAAUGCCUUCUGGGUUGUAAACUACUUUUAUAUAGGAAGAAAACGCCAUGCGUAGUAAUAUGACGGUACUAUAUGAAUAAGCACCGGCUAACUCCGUGCCAGCAGCCGCGGUAAUACGGAGGGUGCAAGCGUUGUCCGGAUUUAUUGGGUUUAAAGGGUGCGUAGGCGGUUUAUUAAGUCGGAGUUGAAAUCCCACAGCUUAACUGUGGAACUGGCUCCGAUACUGGUUAACUUGAGUAUGGUUGAGGUAGGCGGAAUUUAAGAUGUAGCGGUGAAAUGCAUAGAUAUCUUAAAGAACACCAAUUGCGUAGGCAGCUUACUGGACCAUAACUGACGCUGAGGCACGAAAGCGUGGGUAGCGAACAGGAUUAGAUACCCUGGUAGUCCACGCCGUAAACGAUGAUUACUCGAUGUCUGCGAUACACUGUAGGCGUCCAAGCGAAAGCAUUAAGUAAUCCACCUGGGGAGUACGGUCGCAAGAUUGAAGCUCAAAGGA
rnacentral:rRNA from 1 species